UACGAAGGGGGCUAGCGUUGUUCGGAAUUACUGGGCGUAAAGGGCUCGUAGGCGGCCAACUAAGUCAGACGUGAAAUCCCUCGGCUUAACCGGGGAACUGCAUCUGAUACUGGAUGGCUUGAGAUUGGGAGAGGGAUGCGGAAUUCCAGGUGUAGCGGUGAAAUGCGUAGAUAUCUGGAGGAACACCGGUGGCGAAGGCGGCAUCCUGGACCAACACUGACGCUGAGGAGCGAAAGCCAGGGGAGCAAACGGG
rnacentral:rRNA from 1 species